rnacentral:siRNA from 1 species
GAGACUUAUUUACAAGGGAUGCCA